rnacentral:lncRNA from 1 species
GAGGGGCCGUAGAGGGGUGCUGCAACAUCAAGGAAGCCACAGUGUCACUCUUUUUCUGCCCCUUUUCUCCUACCCGAGCUUGUCCUUCUUGCUGCUUCUCAGCCCGGUUUGCCCGCUCCUGUGGGCACACAGCUUGGCCCAGAACGAAGUUCAGACUUGCAAUGUCUUUGCCUCCAGGCACCUCUUUCAGAGGCCCGUGGCAGCUGCCUCCCAUCCCAGAGAAGGGGAACGACACGCACCGAACCCCUGCGAGGCUGGGAGGGACCCACCCUCUCUCUUCCCUUGCAGUAUCUCAACAGCUGUACCCCAGCUGCUGGGACCAGCUCCCUUGGCAAAACUGGCUGGUGGGGGGGACAAAAUGAAUGGUAGCCACCCCUGGUCCUGCCCUCUUGGUCUCCCUCAGUCUGGAAAAAAGUUCAGCCCGCAGCGGGGAUGGGCAGCCUUUGCCUCUGCCCUGGGACCCAUCUUUGCUGAAGCUGCCAAGAGGACGGGGGCCUUUCCUUGCUACCCACCCCACCCCGGAGACCUACCGGCAUUCGCAGCGAACGUGCUGAGAGAACGUCAGUUCCACGUAGGAGGGCCGGGCCCCAGAACGGAUCUUUAGGAGCUGAAGGAAGAAAGAGUUGAUGCCUGGAUUGGGGAGUGGCCCAUGAGUUUCCGGCACUCUUCUCUCUCUCCUUGUCCCUUCUAGUGGGCAGAUUCGGUGGCCCCCUGGGCAGGGUGUGGACCUACCUGCAUGGUGACAUUGGCCGUCUCCACCGGCACACAGUGCAGGUUCUCAUCGCCGCAGCAGCCGGUGCAGCGCAGCAGGGAGACACAGGAUGGGCUGAACAUGUGCUCCACCUCGCUGGGGUACUCAGACACGAUGUCCACCAGCCUCUCCAGCGCCCGGCAGUAGCUGCGGCCCCACACUUCCUGGAAGGGCACCACUGCGAGGAAGCAAGGGGGCUGGGUCAGGCCAGCAGAGACCUGCCCCUUGAAGCCCUCAACCUGGCUCCCAAGGCCCUGCUGGCCUUCCAGGUUCAGCCCCCAGCCCCAUCCGAGCUCCCUCAACUCUGAACUCCUAAUGUGAUCCCUCCGAAAUGUCUGCGGGCCCCUUAGCUCAUCUGCUGGAUGGAAAUCCCCAUGGAACAGAAUCUCUCAGGGUCCCAAGCUUUGCUCUGUCCUCAACUCAGGCACCCACGUCUGCCUUGGCUCCCUGGAGCUUCGAGAAUUGUAGCCCCGGCAGCUGCCCAGGCCCUCUGGAUCUUUCUCAAGCCUGACCCGGUGCUUCCUCCAACUUGGAGAACUUGCAGAAAACAGUCAUUCCUGGAGUCAUGCAGGGAGGGUUGGCCUUCCCUUAUUCCUCUGCUCAAACACCUUCCACGGCUCCCUCAUUUCCUGCCCCACUCUGUGCCAGCUCCUCUGCCUGGCAACCAAGACCACAUCCAGCAAUGUGGCCCGACCCUCCUCUCCAUUGAGUCCAACCAGCGCUCACACUGAGCCACGGCAGCACCACAUUCACUCCCAGCUCUGGCUUGUGCACUCUGCAGCCCGUACAGCUGCUCUUCUUCCCCCUCCUCUCAUUUCUAUCCAAAUAAAGUCCACCCGCCAUUUUCCACGAGCUGCCUCCCCACCUCCUCUUUGAAGACUUCCCCAGCAAUUCCAGUGCACACAGAUGAGCCUCCCUUGAGCACUGCUUGGCCUCUGGCCUCAAGGGGUUGCCUUAUCUCCGGCACUGCUGGCUCUUAUCUCCUUUACAACCAACUCGAGGCUCCAUGAGGGCAGAGAUGGACGUACCCAUAAACACAGGCUAAGUCACUCCUGGUUGAUUAGA